GUUUGUAUGACAGUUCGGAUAAGAAAUAUAAAGAUAAUCUUGCUAAAGAUAAUGUGUGGCAAGAAAUAGCAUCUCGCAUUGAGGGUAAAACAGAUGGUGAUUGCAAAAAGAGAUGGAGGUCCAUUCGCGAUAUAUGCAAGAGACUAAAAAGGAGUGGCCAAUUAGGAACCGGAUCAUCAGCAGCGGUAAAGCGCAAAAAGUGGCCUCUGUUCGAUUGUCUUUCAUUUCUUGAAACGGUUUCAGAGGAAAGAAGUACGAUAUCCAACAUAGAUGAAGAGACACAGGAGAGCAAUGAUGAGGCAUUUUCCGAUUUAGACCAUAAUUUGGUAGAAAAGACAGAAAGUACAACUUAGAAUAUUUUUCUACUGCCUCGCCAUCAACUUCUAGUGCGACAAGUACCUACACUCCUGCAAAACUACCUAAGAGAAAAAUGACUAAUAACAUUUCAAAAAUACUUGAAGAAAACAAAAAGACCAGAGAGAAAAUCGUCGAAACAUUUGUGAAUAAAACCAAUGUUGCCCAAGAAGACGAUGUAGAUAUGUUCUACAGAAGUAUUGCGUUUAAGUGUAAAACAGCUUUUCCUGCAUUUAAUUGCAAAAGCAAAACUUCAACAUUUACAAAUUUGAUUUGCCUCAACAGCAAGAGAGAUCUUCACUUAAUCUUUCUACAGAUUCGAGAUAGUAUGGAUAGUAUGGAAGAUUCGUGAAUAAGAAUCAGCCUCACAUUUACCUCAAUAGCAAGAUAGAUGCUCAUUAAAUAUGGAUAAAGAUUCAA